rnacentral:rRNA from 1 species
CUGGCGGCGUGCCUAAUACAUGCAAGUCGAACGGUCUUUCUAUGGAAGCUUGCUUCCACUGAGAAGAUAGUGGCGAACGGGUGAGUAACACGUGGGUAACCUGCCCAUAAGAGGGGGAUAACAUCCGGAAACGGGUGCUAAUACCGCAUAGUUUUCUUGAUCGCAUGAUUGAGAAAGGAAAGACGGCCUUUGUGCUGUCGCUUAUGGAUGGACCCGCGGCGUAUUAGUUAGUUGGUGAGGUAACGGCUCACCAAGACGAUGAUACGUAGCCGACCUGAGAGGGUGAUCGGCCACAUUGGGACUGAGACACGGCCCAAACUCCUACGGGAGGCAGCAGUAGGGAAUCUUCCGCAAUGGACGAAAGUCUGACGGAGCAACGCCGCGUGAGUGAAGAAAAGGUUUUCGGAUCGUAAAACUCUGUUGUCAGAGAAGAACAAGUUGGAGAGUAACUGCUCCAGCCUUGACGGUAUCUGACCAGAAAGCCACGGCUAACUACGUGCCAGCAGCGGC